rnacentral:lncRNA from 1 species
UCUUUGGUAAGUGUUCUACAUCUCUUCUUUAUUGGUCUAAAAAAAGCAAUUCAAAUUCUCACUUUAUAGAUAGUCAAGAAUUUCAGUUUUUUAGUUGAAUGUUGAUUUGCUCUCGGAUUUUCAUCAAUCAGUUCUUACUCAUUGAAUAUUUUAAGUUGAAACUUUCUGAGAUUGUGUGUUUUGAUGUUAGCUUUCUAAAAAGAUAUCACAGGUUGAAAUUGCUUACAUAUUCAUUAGCAAAAUAAAUAAUAAAAAUAAAAAUUAAAUUAAAUUAAAU